rnacentral:rRNA from 1 species
UAAGGAAUAUUGGACAAUGGAGGGAACUCUGAUCCAGCCAUGCCGCGUGGACGAAGAAGGCGCUCAGCGUUGUAAAGUCCUUUUGAGUGGGAACAAAAUGCGUCCUGCGGGGCGAACUGAGGGUACCACUAGAAUAAGCACCGGCUAACUCCGUGCCAGCAGCCGCGGUAAUACGGAGGGUGCAAGCGUUAUCCGGAAUCACUGGGUUUAAAGGGUGCGUAGGCGGCGUUGUAAGUCAGUCGUGAAAUCGCUGGGCUUAACCCAUGCAAUUGCGAUUGAUACUGCGAUGCUUGAAUCAAGUUUAGGCAAGCGGAAUGUGGCAUGUAGCGGUGAAAUGCAUAGAUAUGCCAUAGAACACCGAUUGCGAAGGCAGCUUGCUGGGCUUCGAUUGACGCUGAGG